CCGGGCCGAAUUGCAACGCGAGCCGAGCCGACCGGAUCGGGCCGGGCCGGGCGACCCGCGACUGUGCAGAAUUGGGCGCGCGUGCAGCCUGCGGCUGGCGCCUUCCCGCGCGCGUGGCCACGCACUUCCAGCGUGCUGCUGGGCGCGUGAGCGCGCGUGGAACGGCCAGUUUGGCCCGGUUGUUUUCUGUUUUCUCGAUUUUUGUCCCGGCUCCAGUUCUAAUACUGUUUUUACGUGGAUAGGGACUUAAUUUAGAGAAAUCAGUAGUGUUGGACACCUCACGGGCAAAGAAACGCUAGCGAAGGGGCACGCGUCAACCAGGGGCGCGAGGCGUCGGUCAAGAGUGGGCGUGAUCUGAAGGGAAUUGUCACAGAGGAAUGGGUUGUCCCGGGGCGUCAGUCCAGUCUUAGUCAUCAUUUUUGUAUUCGCAUUCUUUUUAAAUUUAUUUUCCAAACGGUCUUGUGUUCUGUGUUUAUCGUUCGAAAAACUUUAUUGAAAUUUGAUGAUUUUCGCUACUUCAUAUUUAAAUCUCUUGUGCA